rnacentral:rRNA from 1 species
GACGAACGCUGGCGGCGCGCUUAACACAUGCAAGUCGAACGGAAAGGCCUGCUUUCCCUUGUGGAUUGCGGGUACUCGAGUGGCGAACGGGUGAGUAACACGUGAGUGAUCUGCCCCCAACUUGGGUAUAAGCCUGGGAAACUGGGUCUAAUUCCCGAUAGGACUGCAGGGUGGUUCCUGUGGUGGAAAACGAUUUUCUAGUGGUUGGGGAUGAGCUCGCGGCCUAUCAGCUUGUUGGUGGGGUAAUGGCCUACCAAGGCGGCGACGGGUAGCCGGCCUGAGAGGGUGGACGGCCACAUUGGGACUGGGAUACGGCCCAGACUCCUACGGGAGGCAGCAGUGGGGAAUAUUGCACAAUGGGCGGAAGCCUGAUGCAGCGACGCCGCGUGGGGGAUGACGGCCUUCGGGUUGUAAACUCCUUUCGACCGCGAGGAAGCCACCUGGUUGGAAGGGUGGUGACGGUAGUGGUAGAAGAAGCACCGGCUAACUACGUG